AACGAACGCUGGCGGCGUGCCUAACACAUGCAAGUCGAACGAGAAAGGGCGUUCGCUCCGAGUAAAGUGGCGCACGGGUGAGUAACACGUAGGUAACCUGCCUCUAAGAUUGGGAUAACCUGUCGAAAGACGAGCUAAUACCGAAUAAGACCACGGCUUCCUCGGAAGCAGGGGUCAAAGGUAGCCUCUACUUGUAAGCUAUCACUUAGAGAUGGGCCU
rnacentral:rRNA from 1 species